UAGCAUAUCAAUAAGCGGAGGAAAAGAAACCAACAGGGAUUGCCCUAGUAACGGCGAGUGAAGCGGCAACAGCUCAAAUUUGAAAUCUGGCUCUUUUAGAGUCCGAGUUGUAAUUUGCAGAGGGCGCUUUGGCUUUGGCAGCGGUCCAAGUUCCUUGGAACAGGACGUCACAGAGGGUGAGAAUCCCGUACGUGGUCGCUGGCUAUUGCCGUGUAAAGCCCCUUCGACGAGUCGAGUUGUUUGGGAAUGCAGCUCUAAAUGGGAGGUACAUUUCUUCUAAAGCUAAAUAUUGGCCAGAGACCGAUAGCGCACAAGUAGAGUGAUCGAAAGAUGAAAAGCACUUUGGAAAGAGAGUCAAACAGCACGUGAAAUUGUUGAAAGGGAAGCGCUUGCAGCCAGACUUGCUUACAGUUGCUCAUCCGGGUUUCUACCCGGUGCACUCUUCUGUAGGCAGGCCAGCAUCAGUUUGGGCGGUAGGAUAAAGGUCUCUGUCACGUACCUCCUUUCGGGGAGGCCUUAUAGGGGAGACGACAUACUACCAGCCUGGACUGAGGUCCGCGCAUCUGCUAGGAUGCUGGCGUAAUGGCUGUAAGCGGCCCGUCUUGAAACACGGACCAAGGAGUCUAACAUCUAUGCGAGUGUUUGGGUGUCAAGCCCGAGCGCGUAAUGAAAGUGAACGGAGGUGGGAACCCGCAAGGGUGCACCAUCGACCGAUCCUGAUGUCUUCGGAAGGAUUUGAGUAAGAGCAUGGCUGUUGGGACCCGAAAGAUGGUGAACUAUGCUUGAAUAGGGUGAAGCCAGAGGAAACUCUGGUGGAGGCUCGCAGCGGUUCUGACGUGCAAAUCGAUCGUCAAAUUUGGGCAUAGGGGCGAAAGACUAAUCGAACUAUCUAGUAGCUGGUUCUGC
rnacentral:rRNA from 1 species